rnacentral:rRNA from 1 species
UACGGAGGGGGCUAGCGUUGUUCGGAAUUACUGGGCGUAAAGCGCGCGCAGGCGGCUAUCCAAGUCAGUGGUGAAAGCCCGGAGCUCAACUCCGGAACUGCCAUUGAAACUGUUUAGCUUGAGGAUGAGAGAGGUGAGUGGAAUUCCCAGUGUAGAGGUGAAAUUCGUAGAUAUUGGGAGGAACACCGGUGGCGAAGGCGACCGCCUGGACGAAGAUUGACGCUGAGGCGCGAGAGCGUGGGGAGCAAACAGG